GUGAAGAACGUAGCGAAAUGCGAUAAGUAAUGUGAAUUGCAGAAUUCAGUGAAUCAUCGAAUCUUUGAACGCACAUUGCGCCCUCUGGUAUUCCGGGGGGCAUGCCUGUUCGAGCGUCAUUAUAACCACUCAAGCUCUCGCUUGGUAUUGGAGUUCGCGAUCUCGCGGCUCCUAAAAUCAGUGGCGGUGCCUGUCGGCUCUACGCGUAGUAAUACUCCUCGCGAUUGAGUCCGGUAGGUUUACUUGCCAGCAACCCCCAAUUUUUACAGGUUGACCUCGGAUCAGGUAGGGAUACCCGCUGAACUUAAGCAUAUCAAUAAGCGGAGGA
rnacentral:misc_RNA from 1 species